rnacentral:rRNA from 1 species
CCCGCACAAGCGGUGGAGCACGUGGUUUAAUUCGAUGCAAACCGAAGAACCUUACCUGGGUUUGACAUGUACGUGUUACUGAUCUGAGAGGAGAGGGACCCAUGCUUCGGUAUGGGAGCGUACACAGGUGCUGCAUGGCUGUCGUCAGCUCGUGUCGUGAGGUGUUGGGUUAAGUCCCGCAACGAGCGCAACACCUGCAUCCAGUUGCCAUCGGGCGAGCCGGGCACUCUGGAGGGACUGCCGGCGACAAGCCGGAGGAAGGUGGGGAUGACGUCAAGUCAUCAUGGCCCUUAUGUCCAGGGCGACACACGUGCUACAAUGGCCGGCACAGCGGGAAGCGGAGGGGCGACCCUGAGCGGAUCCCUUGAAAGCCGGUCCCAGUUCGGAUUGCAGUCUGCAACUCGACUGCAUGAAGUUGGAAUCGCUAGUAAUCGCGGAUCAGCCAAGCCGCGGUGAAUACGUUCCCGGGCCUU